UUAAAAAUAAGCUAAAAAUAAGCUUUUGGGCUCAUACCUCAAAUAUAAAGGAUUAACCUUUUUUUUAAA
rnacentral:tRNA from 2 species